AUUGAACGCUGGCGGCAUGCCUUACACAUGCAAGUCGAACGGUAACAGGUUGCUCGCUCCUGUAGCCAACGGCUGAGGGAUGUAUCGUGCCUUGGCCUGUCCCGGGUAGUAGGGGCUCACAUCAGCAACUGAGCCCUCAUACCACCUGCGGCCUGAGGGAGAGGGUGGGAAAUCUUCGGACCUCUCGAUAUGAGAUUAGCCUAGGUCGGAUUAGCUAGUUGGUGGGGUAAAGGCCUACCAAGGCGACGAUCCGUAGCUGGUCUGAGAGGAUGACCAGUCACACUGGGACUGAGACACGGUCCAGACUCCUACGGGAGGCAGCAGUGGGGAAUUUUGGACAAUGGGCGCAAGCCUGAUCCAGCCAUGCCGCGUGUGGGAAGAAGGUCUUCGGGUUGUAAACCGCUUUUGGUAGGGAGGAAAAGGUGCUGGUUAAUACCUGGGUCUAUUGACGUUACCUGAAGAAUAAGCACCGGCUAACUACGUG
rnacentral:rRNA from 1 species